rnacentral:rRNA from 1 species
UACAGAGGUCUCAACCGUUGUUCGGAUUCAUUGGGCGUAAAGGGUGCGUAGGCGGUCGCGCAAGUCGGAUGUGAAAUCUCGGGGCUCAACCCCGAAACUGCAUUCGAUACUGCGUGGCUCGAGUACUGGAGAGGAGACUGGAAUUUACGGUGUAGCAGUGAAAUGCGUAGAUAUCGUAAGGAAGACCAGUGGCGAAGGCGAGUCUCUGGACAGUUACUGACGCUGAGGCACGAAGGCCAGGGGAGCAAAACGGG